CGGCGAAUGGCGAACGGGUGAGUAAUACAUCGGAACGUGCCCAAUCGUGGGGGAUAACGCAGCGAAAGCUGUGCUAAUACCGCAUACGAUCUACGGAUGAAAGCAGGGGAUCGCAAGACCUUGCGCGAAUGGAGCGGCCGAUGGCAGAUUAGGUAGUUGGUGAGGUAAAGGCUCACCAAGCCUUCGAUCUGUAGCUGGUCUGAGAGGACGACCAGCCACACUGGGACUGAGACACGGCCCAGACUCCUACGGGAGGCAGCAGUGGGGAAUUUUGGACAAUGGGCGAAAGCCUGAUCCAGCCAUGCCGCGUGCAGGAUGAAGGCCUUCGGGUUGUAAACUGCUUUUGUACGGAACGAAACGGCCUUUUCUAAUAAAGAGGGCUAAUGACGGUACCGUAAGAAUAAGCACCGGCUAACUACGUGCCAGCAGCCGCGGUAAUACGUAGGGUGCAAGCGUUAAUCGGAAUUACUGGGCGUAAAGCGUGCGCAGGCGGUUAUGUAAGACAGUUGUGAAAUCCCCGGGCUCAACCUGGGAACUGCAUCUGUGACUGCAUAGCUAGAGUACGGUAGAGGGGGAUGGA
rnacentral:rRNA from 1 species